rnacentral:rRNA from 1 species
AACGAACGCUGGCGGCAUGCCUAACACAUGCAAGUCGAACGAGACCUUCGGGUCUAUGGGCGCACGGGUGCGUAACGCGUGGGAACCUGCCCUUAGGUUCGGAAUAACUCCCCGAAAGGGGUGCUAAUACCGGAUAAUGUCUUCGGAGCAAAGAUUUAUCGCCGUUGGAUGGGCGCGCGUUGGAUUAGCUAGUUGGCAGGGUAAAAGCCUACCAAGGCGACGAUCCAUAGCUGGUCUGAGAGGAUGAUCAGCCACAAUGGGACUGGGACACGGCCCAGACUCCUACGGGAGGCAGCAGUGGGGAAUAUUGGACAAUGGGCGAAAGCCUGAUCCAGCAAUGCCGCGUGAGUGAUGAAGGCCUUAGGGUUGUAAAGCUCUUUUACCCGGGAUGAUAAUGACAGUACCGGGAGAAUAAGCUCCGGCUAACUCCGUG